rnacentral:rRNA from 1 species
AGCGAACGCUGGCGGCAGGCCUAACACGUGCAAGUCGAGCGGCCGUAGCAAUACGGCAGCGGCAGACGGGAUAGUAACACGUGGGAACGCGCCCUUCGGUUCGGAAUAACUCAGGGAAACUUGAGCUAAUACCGGAUACGCCCUUACGGGAAGGAUUAUCGCCGAAGAUCGGCCCGCGUCUGAUUAGCUAGUUGGUGAGGUAACGGCUCACCAAGGCGACGAUCAGUAGCUGGUCNGAGAGGAUGAUCAGCCACAUUGGGACUGAGACACGG